rnacentral:rRNA from 1 species
UACUGGGAGAAUUCCAGCUAAUACCGGAUGAUGUCUUCGGACCAAAGAUUUAUCGCCUAGGGAUGAGCCCGCGUAGGAUUAGGUAGUUGGUGGGGUAAAGGCUCACCAAGCCGACGAUCCUUAGCUGGUCUGAGAGGAUGAUCAGCCACACUGGGACUGAGACACGGCCCAGACUCCUACGGGAGGCAGCAGUGGGGAAUAUUGGACAAUGGGCGAAAGCCUGAUCCAGCAAUGCCGCGUGAGUGAUGAAGGCCUUAGGAUUGUAAAGCUCUUUUACCCGGGAUGAUAAUGACAGUACCGGGAGAAUAAGCUCCGGCUAACUCCGUGCCAGCAGCCGCGGUAAUACGGAGGGAGCUAGCGUUGUUCGGAAUUACUGGGCGUAAAGCGCACGUAGGCGGCUAUUCAAGUCAGAGGUGAAAGCCCGGGGCUCAACCCCGGAACUGCCUUUGAAACUAGGUAGCUAGAAUCUUGGAGAGGUCAGUGGAAUUCCGAGUGUAGAGGUGAAAUUCGUAGAUAUUCGGAAGAACACCAGUGGCGAAGGCGACUGACUGGACAAGUAUUGACGCUGAGGUGCGAAAGCGCGGGGAGCAAACGGGAUUAGAUACCCUGGUAGUCCACGCCGUAAACGAUGAUAACUAGCUGUCCGGGCACUUGGUGCUUGGGUGGCGCAGCUAACGCAUUAAGUUAUCCGCCUGGGGAGUACGGUCGCAAGAUUAAAACUCAAAGGAAUUGACGGGGGCCUGCACAAGCGGUGGAGCAUGUGGUUUAAUUCGAUGCAACGCGCAGAACCUUACCAGCGUUUGACAUCCCGCGCUAACCCAAGAGAUUGGGUGUUCCCUUCGGGGACGCGGUGACAGGUGCUGCAUGGCUGUCGUCAGCUCGUGUCGUGAGAUGUUGGGUUAAGUCCCGCAACGAGCGCAACCCUCGUCCUUAGUUGCCAUCAUUCAGUUGGGCACUCUAAGGAAACCGCCGGUGAUAAGCCGGAGGAAGGUGGGGAUGACGUCAAGUCCUCAUGGCCCUUACACGCUGGGCUACACACGUGCUACAAUGGCGGUGACAGUGGGCAGCAAUCCCGCAAGGGUGAGCUAAUCUCCAAAAGCCGUCUCAGUUCGGAUUGUUCUCUGCAACUCGAGAGCAUGAAGGCGGAAUCGCUAGUAAUCGCGGAUCAGCACGCCGCGGUGAAUACGUUCCCAGGCCUUGUACACACCGCCCGUCACACCAUGGGAGUUGGUUUCACCCGAAGGCAGUGCGCUAACCC